UGCUCUUGCGAUCUGAGAAUGAAAGGCCAGGAUGGGAGUCACCUUUGGCGCUUCCAACACCUUCACAGUGGCAGGACUGGUGUGUGUGUGGCCCGAGAGCAGAAUUCCCCAGCUCUACCACCUGAGAUGCCCUGACCCUGGGGAAGGGUAAACGUGUACUCUCUGGAGCCCCGUAAGGCAAGCACUUAUCAUGGCAUUUCUUUCCAGUUGCAUGUUUUGUUUGUUUGUUUAACAAAUUCAUUCAAACUUUGUUAU